GACGAACGCUGGCGGCGUGCUUAACACAUGCGAGUCGAACGGAAAGGCCCCUUUGGGGGUACUCGAGUGGCGAACGGGUGAGUAACACGUGAGUAACCUGCCCUUGACUUCGGGAUAACUUCAGGAAACUGGGGCUAAUACCGGAUAGGAAUCCUUGCUGCAUGGUGGGGGUUGGAAAGCUUCGGCGGUUUUGGAUGGACUCGCGGCUUAUCAGCUUGUUGGUGGGGUAGUGGCUUACCAAGGCUUUGACGGGUAGCCGGCCUGAGAGGGCGACCGGCCACAUUGGGACAGAGAUACGGCCCAGACGACUACGGGAGGCAGCAGUGGGGAAUAUUGCACAAUGGGCGGAAGCCUGAUGCAGAAACGCCGCGUGCGGGAUGACGGCCUUCGGGUUGUAAACCGCUUUCAGCAGGGGCGAAGCUUGUGGUGACGGUACCUGCAGAAGAAGCACCGGCUAACUACGUG
rnacentral:rRNA from 1 species